rnacentral:rRNA from 1 species
UACGUAGGGUGCAAGCGUUGUCCGGAAUUAUUGGGCGUAAAGAGCUCGUAGGCGGUCUGUCGCGUCUGCUGUGAAAACUCAGGGCUUAACCCUGAGCUUGCAGUGGGUACGGGCAGACUAGAGUGCAGUAGGGGAGACUGGAAUUCCUGGUGUAGCGGUGGAAUGCGCAGAUAUCAGGAGGAACACCGGUGGCGAAGGCGGGUCUCUGGGCUGUAACUGACGCUGAGGAGCAAAGCGUGGGUAGCGAACAGG